rnacentral:rRNA from 1 species
UUGAAUGGCUCAGAUUGAACGCUGGCGGGAUGCUUUACAUGCAAGUCGAACAGCAGCACGGACUUCGGUCUGGUGGCGAGUACUGGCGGUACGGGUGAGUAAUAUCGGAACGUGCCUAGUAGCAGGAUAACUACGCGAAAGCGUAGCUAAUACGCCCUUCGAGCAGGGGACCUUCGAACUCACUAUUAGAGCAGCCGAUAUCGGAUUGGCUUCGUUGGUGGAGUAACGGCUCACCAAGGCGACGAUCAGCUGGUUUAGAGGCGACUAGCCACAUAGGACGAGACGGCCCAGACUCCUACGGGAAGCGUGAUGCGAAUUUUGGACAAUGGGGAAACCUGAUCCAGCCAUCAGCGACAGAAGGCCUUCGGGUUGUAAAGCACUUUUAGCAGGAAAGAAACGGCACAGGAUAAUACCCCGUGCAACUGACGGUACCUGCAAGAAUCUCCUUCCUUCGUGCCAGCAGCCGCGGUAAUACGUAGGGUGCAAGCUAUCGGAAUUACUGGGGCGUAAAGCGUGCGCGAGCGGAUUGGAAAGAAGAUGUAAGAAUCAGAGCUUAACUUGGAACUGCAUUUUUAACUACCGAGCUAGAGUGUAUCAGGAGGUGGAAUUCCGCGUGUAGCAGUGAAAUGCGUAGAUAUGCGGAGGAAGACACCGGUGGCGAAGGCAGAUCCUGGGAUAACACUGGCUGUGUACGAAAGCGUGGGGAGCAAACAGGAUUAGAUACCCUGGUAGUCCACGCCUAAACGAUGUCAACUAGCUGUUGAGGCCUUACGGGCCUUGGUAGCGCAGCUAACGCGUCUUCGCCUGGAAAUACGGUCGCAAGAUUAAAGCUCAAAGGUGUGGGGAUACACUGCAACAGUGGAUGAUGUGGAUUAAUUCGAUGCAACGAAAAAGCCUUACCUGCCACGCCGACGUAUCUGAUCCCGGAAGAAGUUUGGUGCUGCAGAGAACCGGAACACAGGUGCUGCAUGGCUGUCGUCAGCUCGUGUCGUGAGAUUUGGGUUAAGUCCUGAAGCACAACCCUUGUCAUUGAACAACUACGAAGGCAUCUAAUGAAGGCUGCGAUGACAAACCGGAGAAGGUGGGGAUGACGUCAAGGUCUCAUGGCCCUUAUGGGUAGGGCUUCACACGUCAUACAAUGGUCGGAACGGGGUCGCCAACCCGCGAAGAGGCCAAUCCCAGAAACCCGAUCGUAGUCCGGAUCGCAGUCUGCAACUCGACUGCGUGAAGUCGGAAUCGUGUCAGCAGCGGAUCAGCAUGUCGCGGUGAAUACGUUCCCAGAUAACAUCCACCACCCGUCACACUAACAGAAUUAGGUUUUACCAGAAGUAGUUAGCCUAACCGUAAGGAGGGCGAUUACCACGGUAGGAUUCAUGACUGGGGCGAUCAGCCUUUAAGGUAG